rnacentral:rRNA from 1 species
AUUGAACGCUGGCGGCAUGCUUUACACAUGCAAGUCGAACGGUAACAGGCCGCAAGGUGCUGACGAGUGGCGAACGGGUGAGUAAUGCAUCGGAACGUGCCCAGUCGUGGGGGAUAACGCAGCGAAAGCUGCGCUAAUACCGCAUACGAUCUAUGGAUGAAAGCGGGGGACCGUAAGGCCUCGCGCGAUUGGAGCGGCCGAUGUCAGAUUAGGUAGUUGGUGGGGUAAAGGCUCACCAAGCCAACGAUCUGUAGCUGGUCUGAGAGGACGACCAGCCACACUGGGACUGAGACACGGCCCAGACUCCUACGGGAGGCAGCAGUGGGGAAUUUUGGACAAUGGGCGCGAAGCCUGAUCCAGCAAUGCCGCGUGCAGGAAGAAGGCC